UUUUUCAGCACGGCCUUCUUUUUUUGCUGGUAUUUUAAAUUGGCACAAGUACGAUGCUCGGGAAGGGUCUGCACUGGCACACACUUAGAUGAAGUUGUUUUCAUGCAUAUAUAACUCAUUUUUCCAACCAUAUUUGUGAACUAAUUGAUUAUGUUCUUUGUAAUGAGUUCUGGGCCUUGUCGCUGCUCGAGCUUGGUAGUGGAUCAUUGCAUGUGCACGUCUGCAUAUGUGAAUGCAUUCAUUUUUGUUUACCUUUUAUUUUCAGUUUUAAACCUUCUACUACUAUCAAUCUCAGAGACUCCAAAAUGAUAAAAUGUGUGAUUUAUUCAAUUUUGUAGGUCAAGUAUUUUUGAUGCAAAAGCUGGAAUUGCUUUGAAUGAGAAUUUUGUGAAGCUUGUUGCUUGGUACGACAAUGAGCGUGGCUACAGCACCCGGGUAGUUGACUUGAUCUGUCACAUCGCAUCUACUCAAUAAGGUUGCAGCAAUAUUUGAGUGGUUGCUGUAAGCGUCGUCGGACGAUAUGCCGUUUUGGUUCAGUGUCUGCUUGUACGUGGCUAAAUGAAAAUAAAUUUGUUUAAGACAUGAUUUUAGUAUGAUUGUCAUAGUUUUUAGGUCUGCUGUCUGCUUGUCUUGAGAGGAAGUUUAAAUUGCCCUUUACUGGAUUUGAAUAUUGUCUUGCCAGUAUCUAUGAGAUUUUCUGAAACAAAUAGCGCUCUUCCUCGUUCUUGUGCACCUGCACAAGCGCGCAUUACCUGCACGGUUUCACAUUUCUUCUUGCGUGUUCAUCAACCACACAAGCAACCAGUGCGCCUCGCUCAGACCAGAUAUUAUGUUAAAAUAUCAUCUUGUGAUGUUAUAAAAUUCCUAGUCUCCCUCUCUCUGCUUUUAUCUUCUCUGUUUGAAAAAGAACCUCGCAAUUCUUCGCUGCCGGCCGCUGUUGCCGGAAGCUGUUCUUCUCUUUGUUGCGCAUCUGGUGGUCAUUCGUAGUCUGUUGUUCUUGAUUCUCUUCUGCAUGGGCGAUAACACCAAUGCGAAAUUGAUCAGCAAUUUGUAAAAUUUUCGUUAAUUUUUGUAUUGAUUGAAAUAAAGGAUUUAUUGUUAAAAAUAUAUUUAACAAAU
rnacentral:misc_RNA from 1 species